GGCCACAGGUACCUCAUCCCCCACUCCUCCUUUCCGCUCCAUGGGGUGGGGGGUGGCCACGGGUACCCUGUCCCCCACUUCUCCUCUCUGCUCCAUUGGGGGUGGCCACGGGUACCCCGUCCCCCACUCCUCCCCUCUGC